rnacentral:misc_RNA from 1 species
GAAAUGCGAUAAGUAAUGUGAAUUGCAGAAUUCAGUGAAUCAUCGAAUCUUUGAACGCACAUUGCGCCCGCCAGUAUUCUGGCGGGCAUGCCUGUUCGAGCGUCAUUUCAACCCUCAGGCCCCCAGUGCCUGGCGUUGGGGAUCGGCACAACCGCGCCUCCGGGUGCGGCGCCGGCCCCGAAAUCUAGUGGCGGUCUCGCUGUAGUCCUCCUCUGCGUAGUAGCACAACCUCGCACUGGAACGCGGCGGCGACCAAGCCGUUAAACACCCCACUUCUGAAAGUUGACCUCGGAUCAGGUAGGAAUACCCGCUGAACUUAAGC